GGGGCCGCGGCGGGGGUGGGGGAGCCGCUCAGAGCCGCGCCGCGGCCGCUGACAUCAGAGCCGCUUCCUGCUGCCCGGCCGAGGAGGGAGGGACGGAGCGAAAGACAGUGGUAUAAGCAAGAGAAACUAAGCUCGAACAAAGGAAGAAACUGAAAAAAUCCCCGGAAGGAUAUUAAUCAGACAAGACAUGAGUAACCUGAAGAAGAGAGAGAAGGUUACAAAAUGAUAAAGAAGGAAAGGAAGAACCAAGGAAAAAAGCUGUUCUUUGAAUUGGGAAUAUUUUCUUUCCAGAAAAUGCCAUUAUAAAAGUGAGUUACUUUGUUCUUUCAGCUUUCUGGUUUUGAUGGAGUAAGAACAUGAGAAAGCUGAUUCAAAAUACACCCUCUGAGGCCAAACUUGACCUGUUCUCAAACACUUCUUCUCGGCUCAAAGAGGCUGAUCCACAGGGACUGAUGUCAAAGGAAGGUGCUCAGGGACCAGGGCCUGGGAUGCUGAAUAUGGCACUUUUUCAAGGUGAAACAGCAACACAGAAGGAAGAUAUUUUUAAAGUAAAAGUACUUGCCUGAUUCUCCUGUCACUGCUCAAUGACAUGCAUUUAUGUAUACUAUUUAAAGCUGUGUUAAAUGCAAAAAUAUGUGCAGUCUGUGACACUCAGCUCAAUAGAUAUUAAAAGAUCCCGGUCUGUGGUAGUCAUUUAACUUGCUCUUUAAGACUUUUGCAACUGUUUCACGUUUUCUGUGCCUUUUUAGUGUGCGAGAUGAAAGAUGCGUUGUGGUGAUAGCUCAGAGAGCUAUCCUUUUUUCCUCUUCCCCUUCUCCUUCCUCCCCCCUCACCUUUCUCUGCCCCCUAUCCCUUCCCUCCUCUUCUCUUCCCACUUUUUAAAAGGAAGGAGGACUGGUUAUUUUCAUUAUUAUUUUAUACCAACACUGAGUUGAAAACAUUUGUAGUUGUUUAAGUACUUAAGGAGGAUCUGCCUCUUACCUCCGGGUAAGACAGUAAAUUCUUCCAUGUGUUGACUUCAUCUGUUAUCCCUACCCAUUUUCCACAUGCCUGAGGGAUAUUUACUCAGACAGACUCUCUCUGUACUGGAGAAAUCUCCGGCGAAGGUCAGCCAGACAAGCAGCACUUACUCAGGAUGGGUGUGUAUGUGUGAACGGCAGGUCAGUGACAUGUGCUGGGGAAAGAAAGUGGGAGCAGCCCUUUCCUCUUCAGCUCCCUCAUGAGAGUAACCCUGGCUUCAGAACUGAAGAGCCUCCCCUGCUCUGCCAUCGGCACUCCAAGCGGCACUGAGAGUGAGGUCCUCCUCAAAACCUGAUUCAAGGUCUUCAUUCUCCAAACCUUUGAAACCCUAGUUUUUGCUAAUUGAAAGAGUAAAAGCUGGGCCAAAUCAUGCAAUGGGGGAUGAGAUAUCUGGUGUGUUCGCUCAAAUGCUCUGGUGCAGACCCAGAGUUUGGCAUCCAGUAAGGGGUCUACAGACUGACGACUCCUGGGGCUUGCAUCUGUAUUUCAAUUCUCUCCUGAUGUUCUGCCUUUUCCUCCCUGAGCCAGAAGUCAAAUUCAGCUGGCAGGUGAACAUGAAUCCCUACAAAAUGGCAUGUGAUACGUACAGUCACAAGGUGGGGGGCAAGCUGCAAAGGUGAACAUAUGAGAUUGUUUUUAUGGGGAGGAGGGAACCUGACAUAUGGAGAAUUCGUGCAAAUUGCGUAAGUCACUUUGAGCAAAUGAGACUUGCCUUUCCCCAUGACCUCUGAGUGCUAGGAAAGCUCUCCCUAACCACAAAGCUCAAUAUUCAAAUGUCAGUCCUUCCCUUACAACUAAUUCCCCUUAACAGGGUUAUAUAUGUGAAUAGCCUCACUGGGAUCAAAGGAGUUACUUACCUGCAUGCAGUGUCAGGCACACACAUUUGCAGGAUCAGGCCCUCCAGGCACACAGCAGCUUUCAUUGCCCUGCGUGUUGCUCAGGCACAAUCUGAUGUCAAUUAAGGAAAGUGAAGAGAAGCAUAUGCUUACAUGGCAAGAGUGCUGCAGAAUGUUUUAAAGUGUGAAAGGUUUAAAUCACACCAAGGCUAUAAAAAUCAGCUUUGUUUAUGGACUGGUGCAGAGACCUAUUGUACUUUGUAUCGAUCAAUCCAUUGAACACCUGGUUCAAAAUGUUCAAUUGAAAGCUGGGGAAAAGUGCUAAAUUGAACAAUCUAAGUAACCUGUGAACCUGACAGUCAUAAAUCAAUGGAGAUGUUACACACAGUUAACCCUAACCAGUUAGCAAGUUGUACCAAUUAUUCACUUUGUUACCUGGUUAGGAGCUAGUUCACCGUUUCAGAAUUGUAUUAAUACAGAAAACAUUUGUUCUGAGUGACCCUCAGUAAACAGUACCAGGUUCACUGAAGACUUUCUCCCCUGCAUCUAGGCCAGAAAAACCUUGCCUGAAAAUCAUCUUGGAAAAAAGGACAUUUGAAAUGAAGAGACAAGUUUACAAAAACUGCCAAAUUUGGGGGCCUUAAAAAGUGUGACUACAAAAGAUGAAGGAUCCGCUUUUCAAAUGUGCUUUAUUCUGUGGGAAGGUUAUUCACACCUGUAUGGGCUCUGGCAGAAACUGACUUUUCUGAUGCUAGUGCUGUUUUUGUUCACAGGUUCUUUGCAGACUUUGAAGGACUUCGAUUUGCUGGCCCACUUUGUCUUUUAUAUGCCUGGCAACAUUUGUCUUAUUUUUUACUUCCUAAGGCAGUAAAUAUGCUGAAUUUUUCAGGAAGGCUUAUGAGAACUUCUUGUUUCUACUAAACCAUUUUGCUUAGGGUGAAUUGCACACACACCCCUAGCCCUCUAUUAGAUUUUACAUUAUGAUUUCAGCUCAGACUGAAAGGGCUUCAAUCACCUGGGUUACACAUGUAACUUAAAAAAAUAAAACUGGUGAGCUGUUUGCACUUUUUUUUUUCCUGUCCUUCUUGGGACAUCUCAGACUUAGCAAAAAGCAGUAUCCAUGGUUUGGAAUUUUCUUCAGCCAGCUUUUUCAAAUCUCUUGGGUUUUAAAUCCUGCAGAUCUACUGAUUUAAAUUGCUAUUUAACAUUCUCCUGAUUUACUGGAAUGAACAGCAGUGCAUUGUUCUCUUAUAGGAGAACUGAUUUUCUGUUUUUCCUUCCAAGAGAGAUCAGAUUUAUUUACACAAUAUACAAAUUUUUGCAUAUAUUAUUAAGAUGGCUACAGUUGUGUGUAGUCAAGACCACAAAUCUUUCUUGUUAUCCUUAACUCUGAUGGAAAACCUUACUUCUUGCUUCCAUCCUUAUCAAUUUUCUGUAGUUCUUAUUUUCUGUCUAAUUCAUAUUCUAAUAAAUGUCUUUUUUUUUUUUGGUGUAAUUAUUUUGAUUUACAUAGCUGUUUCACUUUUAUGCAAGUCAACAUUUAGUCCAGCUUUGACUCUUUUUUUUAAACCUCUGCUAAAAUGUUUUUAAACACUUUCCAGUUAUUAUCCACAUUUCCUGUCUAAUUUCUUUCUCCCAAAUGAUUUAGCUCAUAAUUGUUUUCAGCUUUGCAAAAUUGGCUCUUGCAAUCCAUCAAAUAUACAUAUUACUGCUCCAGACUUAAUUCUGAUUGUAUAUAAAAAACAGAAGCAAAUCAUGAUCCCUUUUAUCUAAACUACUGCUGAUUCCUUAAGUCUACAUCUAUGAUAUUUUAUUUUCAUCUAUAAAGAUAAAAUAAUGUGAUACAGCUUUCCAAAAAUGUUGAAUGCAGCACUUUUAAAGGAACUUAUAAUUUAUGGCUUAUUCCAGGGAUAUAUUAAUUUGGUGGCAUGAAAACUCCAAACCAUGCUGUUCAUAUCGAAGUGCUGACACUGCAUGGUUUAUUUUUCUUCUUGUUUUAUGGAUACUUACUUAAGGUGAUAGUUUUUCCCUCUUCUUCUGAUAAUUACUUGUAGAAGGCAUUAAUAAUGUACACAAAACCCCCAUAUUUUUUGUACCUCUUGUGUAACAGACCAAGUUGCAGACUAAGAAUUACUUAUGUCUUUGAGCCUAUUUCCUAGUUUUAUCAUAUUUCUUCUGCCCUAUUUUCAUGACUAAAUGGAAUUUAGAAGGAGAGAACUAGUUCCCCGAAGAAUCUUUCCCAAGGAAAAGGAAUGGAUAACAAGUGGAAUGUGUUAACAGUUCCACCCCAACUGAUAUUUUAAAAAGGGCAGAGUGCCUGUCUCAUCUUUCCAUGCUUUCUUGUUGCUCUCACCAAUAGAUUGCCAGAUGGCAAGGUGGUUUAGAGAGUCAGGCUUCAGUAUCACUUGUACCCUAGAAUCCAGGAAACUGGUUCUUGAGUGGGAGACACUGCUAAUUUUGGUGGUUCUAGGAUCUGAUGCUGUAUUGUUACUGUUAACAGAAAAAGUAAGAAAUUACAGCCAGCUUUCUGGCUUGAGAUAGGCAAGAUGAUUUCAUUUGGAGUUGUUUCCUGCUAGGGCUUUUUUAGAACACUCUGAAGCUACCUCACUUAUGAUUCUGUUCAUCUUUGGUUUGUUUAUGUUAAACAUUUAAAAUACACUUGUAUAUAUUUAAAUUUGAAACCUUAUAAUGUAUUUUUUUGCAGUUAUGAGUUCAUCUUUCAAAUUACAUCAAUGUUCAACAGAGUUAGUAAUUUUAGUCACUUAGUGUUUCUCUUCAAAAUCAUCUGUUUUUCAUAAAAUGACCUUUUUCCUUCAGGACUGUCACUAUAAUUAAUAACAAUAAAAAUCUAUUUUUCUGUGGCCUCUAAAUGCUCAGGCAAAUGCAUUUCUUGGAGAAUGGAGAUUUGUGAAAUUACUUUUUUGGUGAAAAAUGUAGGC